rnacentral:misc_RNA from 1 species
ACAUCUUUCUCUGAUCAGAAUCAUGUAGUUGGGGAGAUUGCAGAAGUACACUGCCGUGGUAGUUGGGACUCGAGAUCUUGUAAGUAAUUACAACAUCACUACUUGACCAGUUAAAGACGUCUGCUUCAUAGAACCAGCCCAACUUUUCACCUUCGUCUUCUAGUUCCUUGAGAGGGUGACUGAUAGCCUUACACGAAACCUCAGCUUGCGGACCACAGUUAACAUUAAACUGUAUCUUUUCUUUCUUAGAUAUCUUCUUUCCAACUGGAGUCACGUACACCGGGAAACUAUAGGGGAUGCUCAAGG